rnacentral:lncRNA from 11 species
GAUACCCACCAUAUUCUGUACAUCUUCUGUCUGCCAUCAAGGAAAACAGAUAAGGGCUCAAGGGAAAGAGCUGCAAUUCACUUUCCUGUUGUGGUUCAGUCAGCCAAUGACUAUGAGGUGAUUGUUAUUCCAGGGCCUGGGAGAGUAGAUGGGGUUUUCAAUGAGGGAAAUGAAGGAAGUUUAGAUCCUGCCUGUGAGAAUGGGCCUGAAAGUGAAACUGCCUCUUUCAUCUACUUGUCUCAUAGCAACCCCAGAUAAGGAGUUGGAUGAACGAGAAAGUUCACCUGAGAACACACCUGCAGUCAGCAUAAAGCUUAGGCUUCAUUUUAGGGAAGAAGCAAACAAAUUAAGAAAGUCACAGUGAAUUCGUGAGAAACAGCAGCAUGAGAGAUCUCACAGGCAAAGGAGUCAAAGUCACAGACAUGAAUUCAUGUUUUGUGGACUUUAAAUCAGGGAAUUGUUCCUUUAGAAUUCAACGUUGCUUAAAGAUUGCAAGUCGGAAUACAGAAGAUCCAACCUUCCUUGCAAUUUUUUACCCUUUUAUCUUACAACCAGGGAAAAGAUACACAAGUUUAGCUCAGAAGAAAGAAAUCCGUGGUGACUCUGCAGAACAUACCCAAGGUUGUCAUCACUUUGCCAGAAGGCCUGGGUGCUUGGAGAGCAAUAACAAAUCAUCAGCGUUAAUGAUGGGAUGCAGGAAAGGAAGCAAGAAAACAUUUGCCAUAAUAGAUUGGCCUUUCCCCAACCCACAGAUCUUUGCAUUAAAUGAUCCCAUUUUCCUUGAAAGCCUCUUUGUAAAAAAUGGAAAUAAAGCAGAGCCAUUCAGCAUAAUAACAUUAAGAAUGGUACUUAAAAGAGACAAAAUAACACAGCAUGAAAAAACAAAUAAGAUGGUCUCCAAUUUCUUCCAAUAAUCUAGGAUAAACAAUGCCUCUUGUAGUUGUUUAUGAUGCAUUUUUCAAUCUAAAACUCUGCAGGGCAGUUUUAGUAAGAGGCAAGGUUAGAGAGAUAUUUUUAUUUCUACCUAAAUUUGCAUUCAUUUAACAUUCUGCUUUCAUGUACAGAAAUAAUACUGCCUGCUGCUUUAAGUAUAUAAUUUUCUUCAUCCACUCGAUCUCUUGACUACAGUGUGCAAUUGUUUUAGAAAGAAAAUGUGUUAAAAUGUUUAUUUGCUAAUUAUCCCUCUUCACAGAAGUACACUUAUAUGAAAUCUAGAAUCCUAAUAAAAUACAAUUCUUCAAUCCAGAAAUCUACAGAACAAGUG